GCAGCCGCCGCGGUAAUACAGAGGGUGCAAGCGUUAAUCGGAUUUACUGGGCGUAAAGGGCGCGUAGGUGGUUAUUUAAGUGAGAUGUGAAAUCCCCGGGCUUAACCUGGGAACUGCAUCUUAUACUGGGUAACUGGAGUGCAAUAGAGGGUAGUGGAAUUUCCGGUGUAGCGGUGAAAUGCGUAGAUAUCGGAAGGAACACCAGUGGCGAAGGCGGCUACCUGGAUUGACACUGACACUGAGGCGCGAGAGCGUGGGGAGCAAACAGGAUUAGAUACCCCUGUAGUCCCUGUCUCUUAUAC
rnacentral:rRNA from 1 species